UCCUGGACAAGUCCUGACGCUGAGGCACGAAAGCCGGGGGAGCAAACAGGAUUAGAUACCCUGGUAGUCCCGGCUGUAAACGGUGCACGUUUGCUGUGAGAGGAAUCGACCCCUUUCGUGGCGGAGCUAACGCGAUAAACGUGCCGCCUGGGGAGUACGGUCGCAAGAUUAAAACUCAAAGAAAUUGACGGGGGCCUGCACAAGCGGUGGAGUAUGUGGCUUAAUUCGAUGCAACGCGAAGAACCUUACCUGGCCUUGACAUGCAAGUGGUAGAACCAUGAAAGUGGGACGACCCCGCAAGGGGAGCUUGCACAGGUGCUGCAUGGCUGUCGUCAGCUCGUGUCGUGAGAUGUUGGGUUAAGUCCCGCAACGAGCGCAACCCUUGCGUCCUGUUGCUAUCUCUGCGAGAGCAGGGAGCACUCUGGACGGACUGCCUCGCUUCAACGGGGAGGAAGGUGGGGAUGACGUCAAGUCAGUAUGGCCCUUACGGCCAGGGCUGCACACGUACUACAAUGCCCGGCACAAAGGGAAGCAAGACCGUCAGGUGGAGCAAAUCCCAGAAAACCGGGCCCAGUUCAGAUUGAGGUCUGCAACUCGACCUCAUGAAGUUGGAAUCGCUAGUAAUGGCGCAUCAGCUACGGCGCCGUGAAUACGUUCCCAGGCCUUGUACACACCGCCCGUCACAUCAUGAAAGCCGCUUGUACCCGAAGUCACUGUGCCAACCGCAAGGGGGCAGGUGCCGAAGGUAUGGGUGGUGAUUGGGAUGAAGUCGUAACAAGGUAGCCGUAGGGGAACCUGCGGCUG
rnacentral:rRNA from 1 species